rnacentral:rRNA from 1 species
UACGUAGGGUGCAAGCGUUGUCCGGAUUUAUUGGGCGUAAAAAGCUCGUAGGCGGCUUGUCGCGUCGACUGUGAAAUCCCGCGGCUCAACUGCGGGUCUGCAGUCGAUACGGGCAGGCUAGAGUUCGGUAGGGGAGACUGGAAUUCCUGGUGUAGCGGUGAAAUGUGCAGAUAUCAGGAGGAACACCGGUGGCGAAGGCGGGUCUCUGGGCAACUACUGACGCUGAGGAGCGAAAGCGUGGGGAGCGAACAGG